rnacentral:misc_RNA from 1 species
GAUGAAGAACGUAGCGAAAUGCGAUAAUUAAUGUGAAUUGCAGAAUUCCGUGAAUCAUCGAGUCUUUGAACGCACAUUGCGCCUCAUGGCAUUCCGUGAGGCAUGCCCAUCUCAGCGUUAGAAAAUAUUCUCAAAUUUUAGUUUUGUGCUAAAAUUUGGAUCAUGUCAAGGAAGCUGUUACUAUUAUUGUGAUCGCUCUUUGGAAAUUGAUAGGUCUUUGAGUUGCUACUCAUAGAACGUGAUGAAUCUUUCUUCGUUCUAUUGUAAUUCACUCUGGUAGUCCUAAAACUUGUAUGCCUGUGGCAUAUCUUGUAAUUUGACCUGAGAUUGGGUAGGGAUACCCGCUGAACUUAAGCAUAUCAAUAAGCGGAGGA